UGCCAGCCGCCGCGGUAAUACGUAGGGAGCAAACGUUGUCCGGAUUUACUGGGUUUAAAGGGUGCGUAGGCGGACUGAUAAGUCAGUGGUGAAAUCCUCCCGCUCAACGGGAGAACUGCCAUUGAAACUGAAGUUCUUGAAUGUAGUUGAGGUAGGCGGAAUGUGUUGUGUAGCGGUGAAAUGCAUAGAUAUGACACAGAACGCCAAUUGCGAAGGCAGCUUACUAAGCUACGAUUGACGCUGAGGCACGAAAGCGUGGGGAGCGAACAGGAUUAGAUA
rnacentral:rRNA from 1 species